CAAGUCGAGCGGACAGAAGGGAGCUUGCUCCCGGAUGUUAGCGGCGGACGGGUGAGUAACACGUGGGUAACCUGCCUGUAAGACUGGGAUAACUCCGGGAAACCGGAGCUAAUACCGGAUAGUUCCUUGAACCGCAUGGUUCAAGGAUGAAAGACGGUUUCGGCUGUCACUUACAGAUGGACCCGCGGCGCAUUAGCUAGUUGGUGGGGUAAUGGCUCACCAAGGCGACGAUGCGUAGCCGACCUGAGAGGGUGAUCGGCCACACUGGGACUGAGACACGGCCCAGACUCCUACGGGAGGCAGCGGUAGGGAAUCUUCCGCAAUGGACGAAAGUCUGACGGAGCAACGCCGCGUGAGUGAUGAAGGUUUUCGGAUCGUAAAGCUCUGUUGUUAGGGAAGAACAAGUGCGAGAGUAACUGCUCGCACCUUGACGGUACCUAACCAGAAAGCCACGGCUAACUACGUGCCAGCAGCCGCGGUAAUACGUAGGUGGCAAGCGUUGUCCGGAAUUAUUGGGCGUAAAGGGCUCGCAGGCGGUUUCUUAAGUCUGAUGUGAAAGCCCCCGGCUCAACCGGGGAGGGUCAUUGGAAACUGGGAAACUUGAGUGCAGAAGAGGAGAGUGGAAUUCCACGUGUAGCGGUGAAAUGCGUAGAGAUGUGGAGGAACACCAGUGGCGAAGGCGACUCUCUGGUCUGUAACUGACGCUGAGGAGCGAAAGCGUGGGGAGCGAACAGGAUUAGAUACCCUGGUAGUCCACGCCGUAAACGAUGAGUGCUAAGUGUUAGGGGGUUUCCGCCCCUUAGUGCUGCAGCUAACGCAUUAAGCACUCCGCCUGGGGAGUACGGUCGCAAGACUGAAACUCAAAGGAAUUGACGGGGGCCCGCACAAGCGGUGGAGCAUGUGGUUUAAUUCGAAGCAACGCGAAGAACCUUACCAGGUCUUGACAUCCUCUGACAACCUUAGAGAUAGGGCUUUCCCUUCGGGGACAGAGUGACAGGUGGUGCAUGGUUGUCGUCAGCUCGUGUCGUGAGAUGUUGGGUUAAGUCCCGCAACGAGCGCAACCUUUGAUCUUAGUUGCCAGCAUUCAGUUGGGCACUCUAAGGUGACUGCCGGUGACAAACCGGAAGGAAGGUGGGGAUGACGUCAAAUCAUCAUGCCCCUUAUGACUUGGGCUACCACCGUGCUACAAUGGACAGAACA
rnacentral:rRNA from 1 species